AUUGAACGCUGGCGGCAGGCCUAACACAUGCAAGUCGAACAAGUGGCGGACGGGUGAGUAAUGUCUGGGAAAAUGCCUGAUGGAGGGGGAUAACUACUGGAAACGGUAGCUAAUACCGCAUACCAUCGGAUGUGCACAGAUGGGAUUAGCUCGUAGGUGGGGUAACGGCUCACCUAGGCGACGAUCCCUAGCUGUUCUGAGAGGAUGACCAGCCAGACUGGAAUUGAGACACGGUCCAUACUCCUACGGGAGGCAUCAGUGGGGAAUAUUGCACAAUGGGCGCAAGCCGGAUGCAGCCAUGCCGCGUGUAUGAAGAAGGCCUUCGGGUUGUAAAGUACUUUCAGCGGGGAGGCGUUACCCGCAGAAGAAGCACCGGCUAACUCCGUGACAGCAGCCGCGGUAAUUC
rnacentral:rRNA from 1 species